rnacentral:lncRNA from 1 species
GGGCCAGCCUGCAGAGAUGUUUCUCAGGCUCUUGCUGUGGGCAUGGGGCCAAUUGGCAGGUCAGGGACUUUUCUGUAGAGGGUGGGGCACCUCAGUGUUAUUUCUCAGGAUGUCACCAUGCUUCAGGAGCUUGGCUCAUAGGAGGUGGGUGAAGUAUGGGGAGUGCACACCUUAUGCUCUUAACUGGGGCAAUGCAGCUGCAUGAUUUCCUGGUAGCUAUCCAAAUGGAGACUGUGGGAUUCUCCUGUUGUAACAACUAUACUGUUGUAAGGUGUUUGCAGUGGCAAUGGGGGUUAAUGGAGAUCUUCUGCUUACCUGUUACCCACAACAAGAAGUUCUCUCCUGACUCCAGGUUGAUUAAAUCCUAAGGAAUGGAAGGGAGACAGGACUGCAGAGACUGGCUGCCUUCAUGCUGCCCUCCUGGACUUCCUAUCACCAUAGGUGUUUCUCCACUCCACUGCUGUACUCCACUGCUCUUUCUUUGACACUCCUGUCAAAUCUUGGCUAUUUAUUCCUUGUAUUUAUUCUUUCUUGUAGGGAAGAUGAAUGCCAGGUGUCUCUAGUCUGCCAUCUUGCUGAUGUCAUUCCUGCAUCUUCCCUAUAACCUUUUUAAAUUUAGUCCAUUUUGUCUGAUAUUAGUAUAAGCAUCCUGGUUACUAUUUACGUGGAUUAUUCUUUUCUGUCUUUUCACUUUCAACGUAUUUGUGUCUUUGGAUACAAAGUGAGUCUCCUGUAGACAGCAAUUAUUAGAUCACGUGUUUUCACCCAUUCCACCAAAGUCUACCUUUGGAGGGUUUAAUCCAUUUGAAGUACAGAUGACUCUUGAACAACAUGGGUUUGAGCUGUGUGGGUCCACUAAUACUUGAACUUUCUUUUGCCUCUGCCACCCCAAGACAGCAAGACCAACCCUUCUUUGUCCUCAGCUUACUCAACAUAAAGAUGAAAAGGACAAAGACCUUUAAUACUGAAUAUAUUUUCUCUUCAUUAUGAUUUUUUUUCUUUGAGACGGAGUCUUGCUCU